GAUGAACGCUAGCGGCAGGCUUAAUACAUGCAAGUCGAGGGGUAGCAAGAUUGUAGCAAUACAAUUGUUGACGACCGGCAAACGGGUGCGGAACACGUACACAACCUUCCUACAAGUGGGGAAUAGCCCAGAGAAAUUUGGAUUAAUACCCCGUAACAUAGCGAUGUGGCAUCACAUUGCUAUUAUAGCUUCGGCGCUUGUUGAUGGGUGUGCGGCUGAUUAGAUAGUUGGCGGGGUAACGGCCCACCAAGUCUACGAUCAGUAGCUGAUGUGAGAGCAUGAUCAGCCACACGGGCACUGAGACACGGGCCCGACUCCUACGGGAGGCAGCAGUAAGGAAUAUUGGACAAUGGACGCAAGUCUGAACCAGCCAUGCCGCGUGGAGGAUGAAGGUCCUCUGGACUGUAAACUUCUUUUAUCUGGGAAGAAACCCAUAUUUUCUAAUGUGGUUGACGGUACCAGAUGAAUAAGCACCGGCUAACUCCGUGCCAGCCGCCGCAGUAAGAC
rnacentral:rRNA from 1 species